GGAGAAUCAUUUAGGAAAGACCAAAAUCAUCAACAUUCAAAACUAUUAGGAAAGGCAAAGCUCAAGCGGUAGGUUGGAAUGUUUCAGCUGCUUUAGGUGGUCUCAGCAGGCUGUGAUUGAUCUGAGGAGCUCAGAGUGAGCGUUGAGGUGGGGAAGAGGGACCUUAACCUGAGACUGACCCUACCCUGUCCCACCGCCAUGGAAAGCACAAGCCAAGCGUCUUCCAGCUGAUUGUAAAGCUCCGGGUGAGAACUCAUUUAAACACAUUAGUGGGGGCUUUAACUUCUAACCCAAGCUCAUUAACAUUGUUGGAACAGAGCUUUGCUCCCACAAUGUAUCCACAAAAUGGAAUUAAGCAACUUAAUUAGGCUGGGUGAAACACAAAGAGGGAUUUAAGAGAGAGGGGACUUGGCGGCUCUCUGCAAGGUGACGUCAGGGAUCGCUGGAAAAGCUCAUUUGUCCAGCUCUGACCCUGGAAAUUUCCUUUGCUGGAAGCACGGUGAAGUAGGAUGUCUGCUCAUGGUUGGUUUGUUUUGUUUGCAUUUUUUUCUGCCCUACCAUAAAACACUGCAGAGAGUGUCUGAUGCACUCAUAGCAUGAGAAAGUCCUGGCACUCCUGCCACCCAUUUCUCUUCCCUUUGUUAUUUCAUAAGAAAUAUUGUAUAAAUUAUAUUGUAUAUUGUAUAAAUUAUAGCCCUUUGCUUAGGAGAAGAAAAAUACAGCAACUGACUGCUGGUGGUGAAGAGGAAAAUUAAGGAAGAGUCUGAAGGGAGCCAGCAGUGAGCUUGUAUUUUCUUGGAGGAGCAGAAGGAAAGCCAAAAUGACUCCAGUGACAGCUCAAAUAUCCCCCCAAAUGACUAGUAGGAGCAGAACAGCAGGAGCUGGGAAAUGGUAAGGACUUUCGUCUCCAGGAGAAGACAUCUCCUGUCAUCAAGAGGAGAUAAAGGCAGCAGAGAGCUGAAACACCCCACAGAUUAAAACUCAAAAGUGCAUGAGGCUGAACUUUGGUUGAUGAAGAGCAGAGAUUUUGGCCAGUAAGAUGAGGCAGUCUUUUUAAAUGUUUUAGUUUUGGUU